GCACAGGAGCGGCAGGCAGCUAGGUGUUACGCACCUGUGUACUAGCGCCUCUUAAUGGGCGCACCGUUUAAUGUCAAAUUGCAGGUUGGGCCUGCAGCCUCAGCAGAUACGCAGCAGUGGCGUAGCAGCCCAGCAUAGAUGCAGUCAUCAUUCCCGGCCCCUCACAGUCUCCUCCUCAGCGUACUGUGAUAGUACUUCCUCCUCCUACUCCACUGUUGCCAUACAGCUUCCUCCCCUCCUCUGCUCUGCCCCCGAUCCAUCCCAUACUUUGCCUCCAUGCCUGAGUUUGUUUCUGCAGCAGGUUGCAGGGCGGCUGUCUGUCUCUCCCCAUCUAACCUAGCCUUUUGUCCGUCCUGCGGCUCCUCCUCCCCUCCUGAUCCAUGCUGCCAGUGUCUUUUAUUUACUAUUACGGCAGGCUGAUCUGAGGUCACACAGACUACAGCACAAUGACAGCGAUGAGGUGCCCACCUUCCCGCACCUCUAAGCGUCGGCGAUCCUGCAGCGCUGGCCUGAUAACAGAGUUGAGGCGCUGGGAGGGCACACCUGGAGCAGAGAGGAGCAGAAAACUGAGGAGCCAAAGAGUACACAGGAGACUCUAGGAUGAAGACAGAGCAAUAUGACUCAAGGGACAGAAAAGCGUCUUAUAGUGGCGCACAGCAAAGAGGAAAGGCGCUACAUAGCUUCCACAGUUCCGACAAGGGAAAAUACUAGGGUCAACAAUAUUCCUUGAAGUCACUGACUUGCCCAAGUACACAGGAAGCCGGGCCUGGGAACGUUCCCCCCAGUUUUAUGGAAAAGGCAAUGUACAUGUAGACCAAGAUGGAGGUUGCUACCAUGGCGCAGUACGGAGAAGGCACCAGGACUAUUUCCAGGAGCUAACAGUUGCCGUUCUGCAUCUUUUCUCGUAAUGUCCUUGAAAAACCAUCUGAGAAAUAAACAGUAGAAUGACCAUGAAUAUCUGAAGACCUUCAGUAUUACAAGACAACUGUAUAAAACACAGGAACUUACUCUUCUG